GACGAACGCUGGCGGCGUGCCUAAUACAUGCAAGUCGAGCGCAGGAAACUGACGGAACUCUUCGGAGGGAAGGCAGUGGAAUGAGCGGCGGACGGGUGAGUAACACGUAAGGAACCUGCCUCAAGGAUUGGGAUAACUCCGAGAAAUCGGAGCUAAUACCGGAUAGUUCAACGGACCGCAUGGUCCGCUGAUGAAAGGCGCUCCGGCGUCACCUUGAGAUGGCCUUGCGGUGCAUUAGCUAGUUGGUGGGGGAACGGCCCACCAAGGCGACGAUGCAUAGCCGACCUGAGAGGGUGAGCGGCCACACUGGGACUGAGACACGGGCCAGACUCCUACGGGAGGCAGCAGUAGGGAAUCUUCCACAAUGGACGAAAGUCUGAUGGAGCAACGCCGCGUGAGUGAUGAAGGUUUUCGGAUCGUAAAACUCUGUUGUAAGGGAAGAACACGUACGAGAGGAAAUGCUCGUACCUUGACGGUACCUUACGAGAAAGCCACGGCUAACUACGUGCCAGCCGCCGCCGUAA
rnacentral:rRNA from 1 species